rnacentral:lncRNA from 1 species
CCAUAUAAUGGAAUUAAAAUCACUAGAAUCUAAGACCACAAAAACUUUUACUUGAUACUCCUUAAUCUCUAUCAUCUCGUCGCGCCGUCUUGCUUCACUGUAUUCCCUUGGUGCUUUGCCGGUUUCCCGAAUUGUUAUUUACUAGUUUUUUUUGUUUGGUUUUGGUGUUCAACAUCUAUUAUGAGAUUACUACCAUUUUCCCCUCUUACUGUCAUAUUGAACCUUC